UAUAGUCGUGCGGUCGUCGAUGCCCACCUCGGUGGGACGAAAAAGGGAACGCGGUGAGGGCUUUGUCCGAAGCCGCGGCUGCCCCCGCAACUGUGAGCGGCGAGCUUCACUCGGUCAGCCACUGGAGCCUACGGGAUGCUCCGGGAAGGCGGAGGAAAGCAGCGACCCGCGAGCCAGGAGACCUGUCGACGAUGCCAACCGUAA
rnacentral:ncRNA from 2 species